AAAAGAAACUAACAAGGAUUCCCCUAGUAACGGCGAGUGAAGCGGGAAGAGCUCAAAUUUGUAAUCUGGUGGACUCAGUUCAUCCGAGUUGUAAUCUAUAGAAGUGUUUUCCGCGCCGGACCGUGUCUAAGUCCCUUGGAACAGGGUGUCAGAGAGGGUGAGAAUCCCGUGCUUGAUACGACCACCGGUGCUAUGUGAUACACUUUCAACGAGUCGAGUUGUUUGGGAAUGCAGCUCAAAAUGGGUGGUAAAUUCCAUCUAAAGCUAAAUAUUGGCGAGAGACCGAUAGCGAACAAGUACCGUGAGGGAAAGAUGAAAAGCACUUUGGAAAGAGAGUUAAACAGUACGUGAAAUUGUUGAAAGGGAAACGAUUGAAGUCAGUCGUGCGCUCUGGGACUCAGCCGGUUCUGCCGGUGUACUUCCCAGUGCGCGGGUCAACAUCAGUUUAGAUCGCUGGAUAAGGGCAUUAGGAAUGUGGCUCCCUCGGGAGUGUUAUAGCCUAGUGUCGCAUACAGUGGUUCAGACUGAGGAACGCAGCUCGCCUUUAUGGCCGGGGUUCGCCCACGU
rnacentral:rRNA from 1 species